UACGUAGGGGGCAAGCGUUAUCCGGAUUUACUGGGUGUAAAGGGAGCGUAGACGGCCAGACAAGUCUGAAGUGAAAAUCCAGCGCUUAACGUUGGAAGUGCUUUGGAAACUGCCGGGCUAGAGUGCAGGAGGGGCAGGCGGAAUUCCUAGUGUAGCGGUGAAAUGCGUAGAUAUUAGGAGGAACACCAGUGGCGAAGGCGGCCUGCUGGACUGCAACUGACGCUGAGGCUCGAAAGCGUGGGGAGCAAACAGG
rnacentral:rRNA from 1 species